AUUCUCAACGGGCCGGGUAGUGGAUCGAGGAACGAUCCCUGGCCGGCUCCGGAUCCGCUCUCGUCAAGCGGGCGACGGGGUGGGGAUUCUGCUCAGGUGAUCGGCGCCCUUUCUUCUUCUUUGGAAUCGAUCGCAUCCUUUUUCGAUCGUGUUGAUUGAUUGUUCUUGUUCUUGAUCGUGUUUUUCUCUUGCCGGUUCCUUUGAAGAUCGGGAUCUGGUUUUCUAUCUUGCUAUUGUUCGAUCGCCUUUCCUCGGUUGAUCACCGUUUCUUGUCCUGUUAUUGUCGCCUUCGAUGAAAUCUUUGAUCUGACUGCGUCCCAAAUCAAAAUAUUCGUGGGCGGAGUCGGACCGGGCACAUGUUCCGUUGUCUUCACUCGAUUGUACUUCUUGUAGGCUGGAUCUUGUUCUUGUGCUCGAUCGUGUUUGUUCUUGCCGGUUCCUUUGAAGCGCUGGAUCCAGAUCUCCAUCUUGCUAUUGCUUGAUCGCCUUGCUUCAGUGGAUCUGUGAAUUAGCAGGGUUUUUGGGUUGAUCGGCCUUUCUUGUUCCGUUAUUGUCGUCGUCGAUGAAAUCCUUGAUCUGACCGCAUCCCAAUUCGAAAUAUUCGGGACCGAACCGUACCGGGUACAUCUUCCGUUCUUUUCACAUGUUUGUUCUUCUUGUUGGCUGAAUAUUGUUCUUGUGCUCGAUCGUGUUUGUUCUUGCCGGUUCCUUUGGAGAUCUGGAUCCACUUCUCCAUCUUGUUAUUUCUUGAUCGCCUUGCCUCGGAGGUCUGAGGGCGUCCCGAUUCAAAAUAUUCCGGACCGAAGCGGUUCGGUUCAUUAAGUUUCCUCCGCGGCCAAAGAGGUGCGGCAUUCUAGGUUUUAGGUUCGACGUUGUCUGUCAUCCUGAGCCCCUGUUCUUGAUCUCUCAUCGCGAUCGAGCGGCGAGUUCUUGGCGCGGAGGCGGAGUCAUGAAGGAGGGGGAGGAGCAGCAGGGGGGCCCCCAGUCGCCGCCCAGCAGUGUUGGUGUCGAUGGCGCCGCUGUCGACUCAGCGAUGCCAUCAUCCGAUCUCAAAGAAAGUCGAAAACUGCCUGGAACAGUUAAUUGGGGUACAGCAACUAUUGUUGGAGUAUUUGCAGGACUGCUAUAUGGUGGAAGCAAAGAGGCUUCUGCAUCUGUGAGCAAGGAUGCAGAAGUUAUGUUGAAGCUUGGGAGUACUCCAGACAAGCGUGAACAGUACAGAAUAAUGAGAGAUGCAAUGGAGAAAAGAUUCAUCCGCGUAGCUCGUGGUUCAAUUGUUGGUGGUGUUCGCCUUGGCAUGUUCACUGCAGCAUUUUAUGGCUUGCAAAAUCUCCUGGCUGAAAAGCGUGGUGUGCAUGAUGUGUAUAAUGUGGCUGGUGCUGGUUCUGCAACUGCUGCAAUGUUUGGUCUUAUAAUGCCAGGUUCCUUGACGUGGCGUGCUAGGAAUGUGUUGCUUGGUUCAGUCCUGGGAGCUGGAAUUUGUUUCCCUUUAGGUUGGGUACAUCUGAAGCUGAUGGAGAAGGCAAAUGAAGAGAGAUUAAAUUCUAAACCUUCUGAUCUGGAUGAGGAGGAAGAGACCAAUAGAAGCCGUGUUGGUGCUGCCAUAGAGAGGCUUGAGGGGAACCUACGCCGGUAGCAGUUAUCUAUUACCUUGUGGAAGGGAAAAAUAAAGCAGACCAGGAGGAAAUAAGCAGGCAGAUAAGGCUCAGCUGAGCAACAGAAGAAUUUACUGGUUUUCUUGACCUUGCGCUGUGCGAGACAGUAUGGUUGAUCCAGAAUUUUCACUGAUUUCUUCAGGAGUAAUGAUUCUUUGCUCAAACCAAAUCUGUGUGUGGUAACCACAAACUACUUGGUUUCCAUACACGGAAGGCCAAGGCCUUUGAGCCAUCAUGGAUAGAUGUUGUCUCGGUAAACAAAUGGAAGGUUGACUUUGAUUUGCUGUAACCUACGGCAAAUCUGCAUGAGUUUUAAUGCCCUUUUUAGGGAACAGUAAAGCUUGGAUAUAUUUCUGGUUUGGCAUUGGGGUUAGAAGCGGGCGGCACCGAGUUGGCAUCCACGGCAACCCAUUCGGUAUACAUGAG